UAGAAAUCAAUUGAAUUUUAAAUAUCUCAAAUGUUCGACAAUAGAACUCGAUAGAACUGUGAUUGUGCAACAAACAUAAGAUUCAAAACUCAUUACUAGAUGUCGCCGCUGUCGUUCUUGUUGUUACUACGCCUGUCAUGAAACGAGGUGAAAUGGACGAAACAAAAUUGUUGCUAAUACUUAUAUUCCUGUGAUUUCAAAUACCAAAUUGAGCUUCGUAUCUAAUAUGCAUAGCUACUGUCAGUCAUCCCAACAAGUUGACUUAGUGCUCAGUCACUUUCCAUCCAUUAGAUCCUCAUGCUGUCAAAAUCCUAAAACUCAUGUUUGAAGCACACAUAUAGUGGUAUACAAAUGUGUGGAGAUAAGGUAUUUUCCCAUUACUGCUACCACAAAAACCACACUACGUCAAAUGCCUUACUACAUCAUCACCCAUAUGAUAAAGCAUCAGGAAAUUUAUCCCACCUGAGGAGUAAUGCAGUUGGUUGCUGUAGUUCCAUUAUCACGGUUUUUCAUCAUGAACAUUUCAGUGUGCUUCUUAGAAAAGAGCACGCAAGAUCCCACAGACAUCUUUGAGCCAAUGCUGGAUUAUGUCCAUCACAGAAGAGGGACUUCCACCAACGUUCUGCUCCAUCCUUAUCUUCAAGACUCAUCCAGUUUCACUGCUUCAGUGCUUCUUAUGCUGCUAGUCCUGCUACACAACUUUUCUUGCUUCACUGGCGAGUUGGAUCACUUCCGUUGCUGUGACACACCUGCAGUCAUUCACCACGGGAUUAUGGCCAGGUA